rnacentral:rRNA from 1 species
AUGCCUCGAGCGCACGGUACCACGCGAGGAAAAAAGACCACCGCACCGCACCGCGCGUGGGGGUGCAGCGCACCACGCGAGCGAAAAAACCACCGCACCGUGCUCGACGUGCAGGCCCCGCACCCGUCUUUCUCCUCCAGCGAAUCGAGCGGGCAGCGAGCGACAGUGAAAGAAACGCUCCCAGCCCUAGCCCACCCCGCGACCCUCGUUCCUCAUGCGCCGCCCCCGACGCCCCCCGCCCGCGAUGGAGAAAUUGAGAGGAAAGAGGAGAGGAAGGUCGGGCACGACCUGGCGGUUGGUGGCGGCUCGAUCCGCUCCUGGAUCGGGAGAGGAGGAAGGGAGGUGGGGGGCCGGCCGUCUCUGUGCCUCCUCGCCGCCGAGCUGCGGCUGCCCCGUGCGCUCUCUCUCUCUCUCGAUCUCGAUCUGAGAGGAAACGAGGUAGCCACAGCCUCCUGCACCCCCUUCUCUCUCGCCGCUGCUGCUCCCCAACCACCGUGCUGUGAUGUUGCUUCCCCAAUUGGUCGCUGUCUCGUCUCCCCCGACCUCAAUACCGUCCUGGGCGGCGCCGGUACCGAGGCGCCACCUCUGCCUCCACCCCCACUGGGCAAGGAGCUCGAGAUAAGGAGAACUUUAACCUUGCGCCCACCUAUGGCAAUAUUGCCAUCUUUAUAUUCUCCCUCGCUCAUCAGCGGCAGCGAUGGUGGUGUCAUUGUCGGCCUUGCAGCAUGUGGCAUAAUCAUGUCCAUUGCCUACUCUGGGGCAGAUCUGAUGCAAGACUUCAAGUGCGGCUACCUCACCCUCUCUUCACCAUGUGCAGUGUUCAUCUCGCAGGUUCCAAGUUGGUUAAUGUUGAUUUUUGCUCAUGCACAACCCAUCAUAGGAAUUAGUAGGAUCAUCUUCGAUGGAUGUAAGGACUGCAACAGAUUCCUAAAAUCAUCUUUGUUGGUUUGGAUGAUUUUGCAGAUAAGGAUACCCGCGCUGCUGCUGUUGCGUUUGGUUAGGGAGGGGCUUCUUCGUCUGCUUUGCCGUGUGGUGGCUGUGUGGCUGCUUGUUCCUUCUUUGCUAGGUGAGGUCUGCUUUCGUUCUCUUGUUGGCUGGUUAUGCAUGGGCAUGGGGUCUGCCCCACCUGAGAUCUGUUUGGGCAGGGAUCGGCUUUGGUGGUGGCAGACGCUGGCAAGUCAUGGGGUUAGAGCAUAUGAAGCUGACAUGGCGUUUGAAACUUACGUGGUCAUUGAAGGGCUUCGCAAUAGUGCUUACAGAGUCUGGGAAAGAAAAUAUGGAGGAAUAAGCUACGAUAAUUUUGUUCUUAGAAAAUGCGAGGAUGAUGACAAUGAUUGUGCUACUUCUAUCUUCUUCAGCUCCUCAUGCUUCCCAAGGUCGCAGGUAUGCUUCUCCAUCCCCCUACCUUCUCAGUUCCCCCAUUUCUGUUGGAUAAUUCACCCCCUCGACUUCUAUACAAUUUUUUGUCUAUUCUGCACCAUACAACAACAGCCCAACAAGAAAUACAUGUACACGUAUUUUGCCGACUCAGUUGCUGUGAAGUGGUUGGCAAGAUCCCCGGAGAGCAAGAAGAGCACCACCAUCUGCUCCAACCCGCCGACUGGUAGGUGCGCCUGCUCAUCCGACCCUCUCGCACACCCUCUUUGUCAAGCCCCCGUGAUGAAUCAACGAGAGACCCCUCCGAGCACAAGGCUAAUUACCAAGUUGGUAGAUCUGUCCACCACAUCGCUAGCUGAGGCAAUGUUUGAGAAGCUCGGGCUACCUAAACCAGUCUAUUAUGUGCACCAACUUGAGCAGGGUCGAUAUAGAUCAGAGGUUGAAUUUCAUUGUACAAAAGAGCGCUUCCACGCUUCAGCACGUUGGACUAAACUGUCAAGUUGUAUAUGUGAGCAUGGGGAAGCAUCAUUGAAUCAUGCAGCCGAUAAGGUCAUCGGAUACAUGGAAACCAGAGAGAGGAAUGUUGUUGUUAACUACUAUCAGCUGCAGGAGCAGAAAAACAGCCACCUUUUGUUUCAUAUCGAUCAAACCAGUAUCUUUCCCAUUUUGGGGUACUCGAGCAAGAUAUGUAUAGUCUUUGGUCUUCUAUUGCUACCUUAUUUUCAGGUCAACUACACUGAAAGCAAACUAAAAGAUUACAUUGACCCAGAUUAUGAUAUGCUCAAGGUCAGGUUUGCAAAUAGUGAUCGACACACCCAUUGUCGCAUCAUGGUAGGAACCGACAAGAGAGCCACCGUAACAACCAACUGGUCUGAGUUCCGCCGCCUUGCAAAAAUCCAUGAAGGAGACAUCUGUGCCUUUCUUUUUCAAGGUCACCAUAGAGCAACACCUGGUUCUCAUCAUGCAUUGCCUUUAGAUGAACCAUUGACAGCAACAGAAGUCGUAUCUAGAUAUCAUCUAGCAUUCUAA